UACCUUUUGGAUACCUUAUGCGUCCCUUUGUCCCCUCAACCCAGCCAAACAACUCGACAUAAAAAUCAGAGCUUUCUCUAUCUAAAAUCCUUAUCCCUGCCGUCAUCGCCAUCGUCGCAAGCACAAUUACGUCACCGCCGUCAACCAUUGCAACACCAGCUCCUACUUUCUCUUCUCCACUCACUUCUUCUCGUUCACAACCUUCUCCCCCUAUCUUCACCUCGGCUCCUCCUUCUACACCAUCCUAAACGCCGUGCACUUCAACAUCAACACCAUCACCACCAACACCGCCAGAUCAAAUUGGUUUUCUUCAAUAGAUUUCUUAUUACUCGUUGUACUUCGAUCACUUUUCAGGAAAACCACCCCGGGCAAGGCUAACGCUGUAUUGCAAGAUUUAAGGUCUCAUCAGCAGAAAGAUCAUAAGCACUUUCAGCAUACUGAUAGUUCUCCCCAAGUA